rnacentral:rRNA from 1 species
CGAGUGCUCCAAGCGUUAUCCGGAAUUAUUGGGCGUAAAGGGUGUGUAGGUGGUUGUGUUAGUCUUUUGUUAAAUUCUUCGGCUUAGCCGGGGGCAUGCGAAAGAAACGGCACAACUAGAGGAUGCGAGAGGCAAAUAGAACUCAUGGAGUAGGGUGAAAUCCGUUGAUAUCAUGGGGAAUACCAAAUGCGAAGGCAAUUUGCUGGCGCACUCCUGACACUGAAACACGAAAGCGUAGGUAGCGAAUGGGAUUAGGUACCCCAGUAGUCUACGCCCUAACGAUGAUCGCUGAGUCUUCGGAGUAUCGACCCUCUGAGGGCUGAAGCUAACGCGUUAAGCGAUCCGCCUGGGUAGUACGGCCGCAAGGCUA